AACGCGAAGAACCUUACCAAGUCUUGACAUCCCAUUGACAGAGUAUGUAAUGUACUUUCCCUUCGGGGCAAUGGUGACAGGUGGUGCAUGGUUGUCGUCAGCUCGUGUCGUGAGAUGUUGGGUUAAGUCCCGCAACGAGCGCAACCCUUAUUUCCAGUAGCCAGCAGUAAGAUGGGCACUCUGGAGAGACUGCCAGGGAUAACCUGGAGGAAGGUGGGGAUGACGUCAAAUCAUCAUGCCCCUUAUGACUUGGGCGACACACGUGCUACAAUGGCGUAAACAAAGAGAAGCGAGAGCGUGAGCUUAAGCAAAUCCCAAAAAUAACGUCUCAGUUCGGACUGUAGUCUGCAACCCGACUACACGAAGCUGGAAUCGCUAGUAAUCGCGGAUCAGAAUGCCGCGGUGAAUACGUUCCCGGGUCUUGUACACACCG
rnacentral:rRNA from 1 species